GAGCCAGCUUAGCCCAGCGGUUCCAUCGACCAACGCAUAGCUUGGAUCCUGCAAUCGCCCACAGGCAGCGGUUUGAAACCUGCAGGCACUGACUGGCCUUUUU
ensembl:vault_RNA Vault Vault RNA